CCUUGAAGACUAAGCAAUCCAACAAGAAAAUAUUAUUGGUCAUGAGGCAGCGCUUGAUCACCAACAAAUCACAUUAACAGAUUGUACUGUUAAAUGGAAGCCUGCAUGGUGAUGCCUGUUAAUCACUGUCAUCUACAAGCUUGAUGGAAUUAUGGAAUGUAUGUCUCUAAUGCAACUUUUGAAACACGAGGAUAGUCUGAACAAAUGAGGAGGUGCAAAGCAAACAAACUAAUCCAGAGCUACCACAAGGUGGGGUUAGGUCAUUUACGAUCUGACCAGUCCACAAGGACUGAAGUGCUCCAGAGCUGCCCUGGUCCCCAGCUGCCAGAGUCCACCUGGCAGCUAAACAAGCAGUGGGCUCCUCCUCUCCUGGAGACAAACCCGGUCCUCAGGCUCACUCCCCAGCUAAGACAUCUGUAUCCUGAAAAUAGGCUGAAGAUUUCUUAUUAUGUUGUUUCUCUGGCUGUUUGUGUAAGUAAAUCUUGUAGUCAGGCAAUGCAUGAACAGUUUGGCACAUAUAAUUUUCUCAAUGUAUUCAGAUGUAGUGCCCUGAAUACUAAGCAUUGUGCUCUCAUCAGUGGAAAUGCCUGAUUGUGAAUGUUGUGUUGCUUUUUUUUUUUUUUUUCUCUUGGCAGUUGGGGUUAUAUGUAAAUUUUGCACUUAUGUGUACAUUUCAAAUAAACUGGUGUUUUUAAAUCA
rnacentral:lncRNA from 1 species